UAGUUGUUUAAGCGGGGGUUGCUGCUAACUGUCAAAGUCCCCCCUUCGGGCCUGACAAUCCCAAAUUGUCAGGCCCGUUACUCAAUUUGCGAUC